UGCCAGCCGCCGCGGUAAUACGGAGGGUGCAAGCGUUAUCCGGAUUUACUGGGUUUAAAGGGUGCGCAGGCGGAUUUGUAAGUCAGUGGUGAAAGCCUGGAGCUCAACUCCGGAACUGCCAUUGAUACUGCAAACCUUGAGUACAGUUGAGGUGGGCGGAAUGCAGCAUGUAGCGGUGAAAUGCUUAGAUAUGCUGCAGAACACCGAUUGCGAAGGCAGCUCGCUAAACUGUAACUGACGCUGAGGCACGAAAGCGUGGGGAGCGAACAGGAUUAGAUA
rnacentral:rRNA from 1 species